CCAUCUGCCAUUCUUCACAAGUAGCAAAACAAAUCCCAAUUCGUUUCAAGGAUUUUGACCCUGUCCUGAGAGGCUACGCACGAGGGUCAUCGGCACUUCUGCGCCUCCACCUCCGACGUCGAUCCGCGGAGUGGACCCAGGUACGUGCGUGGGUGUAUCACUGAUGUAGCGUAGUGAAGUAGCGUACGACACAGAGAAAGCACGCGACGUGUGGGGCAAGCUCGCUGUUGGCUGCGACACAAGGGUCUGCUUAGGGUUUCUUUGGCUGAAAUUGUUUAAGCUUUUGGGCUGAAAAUUUGGGCUAGGGUCUUUGGUGUGGGUUGUAAUUUUAGAUUAGGCCCGUGUAAUGUUUGGGCUGGUAUGGGUAGUGGUAUAGGUUUGUAAAUGGACAUUGGACUGUUUCGGUGUUUUUGUUUAAUUUGUUUAUUGGGCCCCGAGCUAAAAUUGGGCCUGACACAUACUAAUUAGGAAAGAAA